UUGAUAAUGUAAGGCCGCUUGCAUAAACAUUGUACAUCAAACCACCCCGAUAUAUAUAUUCAUGGGUGAAUUUCAAAGUACAUUCAUUUGAAUGCAAUGUAUUAUUAUCUUACUAUCGAGGCGUUACAACAUUAUUGCCAUUGUUACAAGCGGAUCAGCUGGAGUUAAUCGAGGAUAGAGAAUCAAGGAUGAUUCAUGGUGUGGAGCAAUCUUCUUGUGAAAUUGGAAGUCCCUUAAAGCAGUCGUUAGAGCUAACCAACCAUUUGGCAAUGCUGAAAGCCCCUGAUACAUUUACUUAAGACCCUUUGCUUCCUAAUUAUAUAGAGGUCUUCUACUCUACUGGUCACGAAAAAGAUUGGGCAGUCGUUAACGCAGCUUGGGCUUGGUCGUUUUUUAGAUAUUGUUAUGAAAACACACUUAUCAUCAUCGGCAAGUGGUUUCAAAAUCAUUUGUUUUCAUUCGACUUGGAUUAAAAUAAGAAUACCAUAGCCUUUCCUGGCGGACAAAGUCUGCGGGUCCUAAGCCCAGUAAAAGGAGUUAAUCAUGUAGUAGUACUACCUUGGUUCUGCUUUUAACUUUACCGGAAAUAUUGUUUGAAACCAAGAAACCAUUGCAGUGAAGGGUCUUAAGGCUGUAUAUGUAAGUACCACGUUGAAUUUUGGGGGGUUUCCAAAACUGUGUCCCACUACUAAAAAAGCAUAAAAAGUAAUAUAUAACAUGAAAAAACUCGUUUAAAUAUAUUUGUAGAUUAACAAUUAUAACAUAUGUUUUAAAAUGUAUUUCUUGCUUCUUGCUUCUUCUGUAAAUGUUUAAUAUAUUUUAUAUUGAUAUUUCUUCUUAUUUUAUAUGCAUAAUCGAAAACAAAUCAGGACCACCUAAAACAGCCAGGCGGAGUGUAUACAAACCUUACUCAGAAUAUAAGGCGUUUCCUGCGCUUCAAAUGGAAUGCCGCUGAUCAAUGUGUAACAUGUUUAAGGUCAUACGUAUUUCUAAAUUAUUCUUUGUAUCUGGAAUAUAUUUCAUAUUAUGCCAAAAUGGCAAUUUCAAAAUAAAAUAUAUAACCUAUUUUGCUUCUAACGGUUCAAAGUUCUUACCAGUUUAACACCAUGUAUGUACUGUUCAGUAGUUUGUUUGCAUUAGAAGUGGAUUAAUCUAAGAAGAACACCGCAACUCUGCCAAAAAAAAGAACUGCCGGUCAAAGUGGGGUUACAAUUCAUCAUGUAACUAUAUGGAAUUGAGAACCAUUGAGCGUAACAAUACACACACAAUAAUGUAGUAAUUUCUUUGAAUAUUACAUCACUGACUUAUGCAUAACUGUGUUUAGUAUUAUUAUUGUUUAAUUUUAUUAGCUUAGUUAUGUGAUUGCGUUACAAAAAAUAGAUGAUAUAUAUAUAUACGCGUACUUGUUUAUACGUUAACGUGUAUUUACAUAUGACACACAGAAAACCAUGGGAACCUGCUUACAAAAGAUGCGUUUUGCUUGCAUGGUUGAUGGAAAAACAUUACGACGUGCAUUUGUUGGAUUUGUCUGUACAGCAGUACUGUCACUCCUUUUCCCCGUCUCGGUUGUAUCAUGGAUAAUCUAUAAUGAAAUGACUACGGAAUUCGUCGAAAACGAACUAAACGAUCUGGGUCUAGGGGAUUUGGUUUCCACCGACUGUGUAUGGUAGGAAUUAAAAACGACUACAGCUAGACUGGUUGGCGUGAUAGACACAGUACUAAGUGAAACGGUGCAAGGUCAUUCAAAACUUCGUUGGAACACAAACAGCAGCACAAUCACUGACGACAAUUACAUUCAUUUCCGUGAUGAGGGGGACAUCUUCAUCAAGAAAUCAGGAUACUACAUAUUAUCUUCAACACUCAAUCUUAACACGACAGGAAUGAACAAUUUAACAACAACAUUCAGUCACCACGCAAAUCUACAGUCCCACAAAUUUGGAACAACUGAUGCUCUUAUGCAAAAGCAAAUGUGUAUAAGAGGUUCAGACGAUUGUGUUUUACAAGUUUUUUAUCCGCCAUUUUUAAGCUAUAUGAAAGUGAUAGGAUAUCUGUGUCCGUUAGCAACCCAAACUAUUUAGCUCUUAACCACUCUAGUGACCUUUUUACUGCAUACUAUAGUUACCAUAUGACCUAAAUUCGAUUUCUUGCUUUUGCAUCAUCAGGGUAAGGAAUCACGUGAAUUUGAAGGGGUUCUCACAUGCGUCACCACAGGUCACAGCCGAUGUAAACAUCCGAUUAAGUGACGUUAACUACUAAAUACCUUUUUAAAAGAAAAUAUAUGAAAAUAUUAUUUAGCCUAUAAAUAGACUAUGCCAAAGUCUGUUUUAAACGCGUGUGAAAUAUUUAAGAUUUGCUUGUAUGUUAAUGAUGCAAUCCUUGACCAAAAUACCAGCGAUGCGUCGUUCUACAAAGUUCCGACAAGUUGAAAUAUUAGCGGAGGAUGGCAUCAUCGAAAUACAGGGCAAAUCUGAAUGAGUUUACGUGUGAAGAAGCAGAAAAUAGCAUAGUUUGUUAUAGGUUAGGAAAUGUUUUCUUAGUUUUUCUGUAAAUCAGAAAUCAACAUCACUUGCUAGUUUCUUUACAUUGGUUGUGAUCUGCGGUGACGCAUUAGGGAACCCAUUCAGUCACAUUUAUUUUGAGGUUUAUUUAUCACUCCUUUAAUGGUUUGUUUCAUAUAAUGUUCAUAUACAUAUUUGUUUGGGUUUUUUAUUCCUAGUAUUUUGUCAAUAAAUUUGACUUUUUGACUCAUGUUUGUACAGUUGCUUUUAAACGUACGUUUCUAUUUAUCUGGUAUGCUUGAAAUUAGUGAAUGAUAUUUUAGAAAAUCUGUGUUUGGUAAAUUAUACUUAAUCUUAGUUCUUCAAAUGUAUAAAAAUGUUUUGUCGUGUUAUUAAAAAAGUGGUGUAUGUAUAUGACGCCAUGUAUAUACCAUUCUUUGUAAAAGAUUAGGCGUUUACAUGUGUUGAUAUAUUCAUUAUACCAAAUUAUUUGCGUUGGAAUAUGUUCUAUUUCCUUAGUAAAAUUUAAUCUUGUCCAACUUGUAAGUAUAUCUUUUAGAAAUGUAUUCUGUAUAUCAGAUAGGAUAUAGUUCGGUGAAAAAUUUCCCUCAAGUAAAAUUUUACCACCAAAUUUAUUUAUUUCCUUUAGAUACGGUACGUUCCAACUACCAUUGUUGGAAUCGUCAAGUAUUCUUUUAAUCCAGCUUGUUUUUAUUGUUGAUAUGAACAUAUUAAAAUCGAUCAUUUUUAAUCCACCAUUUUUAUAAUCCUGUGUUAUAAUGUUUCUUGCUAUCUUUUCUGGCUUUCCAUCCCAUAAAAAACUGUAAAGGUGUUUUACAAUGUCUUUAAUAAUUUGUUCUGGUGGGUUUUCAAGAACCGUUAAUGGAAACACAACUUUUGGAACUGCAAACGUUUUAAUAUCCGUUAUUUUACCAAUCAAUGUUAAACCAUGUUUUUUUCCAUCUAUUCAAUGUUGAAUAAAGUUUUUCAACUUUA